GGCCUAUUAGCUCAGUUAGCGUCGUGCUAAUAACGCGAAGGUCACAGGUUCGAUCCCUGUAUAGGCCA